GAUGAACGCUGGCGGCGUGCCUAAUACAUGCAAGUCGAGCGAACAGACGAGGAGCUUGCUCCUCUGACGUUAGCGGCGGACGGGUGAGUAACACGUGGAGAACCUACCUAUAAGACUGGGAUAACUUCGGGAAACCGGAGCUAAUACCGGAUAAUAUAUUGAACCGCAUGGUUCAAUAGUGAAAGACGGUUUUGCUGUCACUUAUAGAUGGAUCCGCGCCGCAUUAGCUAGUUGGUAAGGUAACGGCUUACCAAGGCGACGAUGCGUAGCCGACCUGAGAGGGUGAUCGGCCACACUGGAACUGAGACACGGUCCAGACUCCUACGGGAGGCAGCAGUAGGGAAUCUUCCGCAAUGGGCGAAAGCUUGACGGAGCAACGCCGCGUGAGUGAUGAAGGUCUUCGGAUCGUAAAACUCUGUUAUUAGGGAAGAACAAAUGUGUAAGUAACUAUGCACGUCUUGACGGUACCUAAUCAGAAAGCCACGGCUAACUACGUG
rnacentral:rRNA from 1 species